rnacentral:lncRNA from 10 species
GAAUUGUCUAAAAUUCAUCAUCAGUGAGUCCAUGGCAUGUUUUGGAAUUUAUUCACUUGUUUGCCUCAGGAACAGUAGCUGUUCAGAUUUGUUCUGUCUUUGAUUUUGGAAAUGAGGUUACCGUGCUCUGUAGUGUGAGGAAGAUGACAUGGCAUAAUUAGGCAAACGGCUAGGCAUUUUCUCAGCAGUAAAUUACCAGUGCCCUUACUUGCCAUGAUACCCACAACAGGCAGAGGCAGUUUCCUGAGGCAAUCCAGGCCACAAAGAACUGUACAUUUGGGGAAAACAUAUCUUCAAAUAUAUAUGUUAAAAUCUAAAAAAUUGGUUAGUAUGUAUUACUUUUGUGGAUACUUAAACAUUCCCUAUGCAUAAAGACCUAGUUAAAGAGAUGCAGGCUUUUGGCAUGUUAAAUAACUCCUUGAUGAGAAAUCACACUACGAAUAAUAAAUAUUACUUAAUAAAAAUGAAAAAUAAUGAGAUUAGUUACUAUUGAACUAUUCUUGCUUAGAAUGCCCCUGAAUUUCAGUCAUUGAAAUUCACUUGUACCUGGGUAAGUUACAAGUUCUUAUUUGUGCUGGUUUCUGUUCCAUUGGCAAUUAAAAUUUUGGUAAGUUGAAUAAAAGAUCUUUCUAAAAAGGGAGUUUUUUUUUUUUUUUCUUUUUUGAGGGGGACGGAGUCUCGCUCUGUCGCCCAGGCUGGAGUGCAGUGGCACGAUCUCGGCUCACCGCAAGCUCCACC